rnacentral:rRNA from 1 species
AGGGCGCACGGUGGAUGCCUUGGCACUAGAAGCCGAUGAAGGACGUUACUAACGACGAUAUGCUUUGGGGAGCUGUAAGUAAGCUUUGAUCCAGAGAUUUCCGAAUGGGGAAACCCAGCAUGAGUUAUGUCAUGUUAUCGAUAUGUGAAUACAUAGCAUAUCAGAAGGCACACCCGGAGAACUGAAACAUCUUAGUACCCGGAGGAAGAGAAAGAAAAUUCGAUUCCCUUAGUAGCGGCGAGCGAAACGGGAAGAGCCCAAACCAACAAGCUUGCUUGUUGGGGUUGUAGGACACUCUAUACGGAGUUACAAAGGACGACAUUAGACGAAUCAUCUGGAAAGAUGAAUCAAAGAAGGUAAUAAUCCUGUAGUCGAAAAUGUUGUCUCUCUUGAGUGGAUCCUGAGUACGACGGAGCACGUGAAAUUCCGUCGGAAUCUGGGAGGACCAUCUCCUAAGGCUAAAUACUCUCUAGUGACCGAUAGCGAACCAGUACCGUGAGGGAAAGGUGAAAAGCACCCCGGAAGGGGAGUGAAAUAGAACCUGAAACCGUGUGCUUACAAGUAGUCAGAGCCCGUUAAUGGGUGAUGGCGUGCCUUUUGUAGAAUGAACCGGCGAGUUACGAUUUGAUGCAAGGUUAAGCAGUAAAUGUGGAGCCGUAGCGAAAGCGAGUCUGAAUAGGGCGUUUAGUAUUUGGUCGUAGACCCGAAACCAGGUGAUCUACCCUUGGUCAGGUUGAAGUUCAGGUAACACUGAAUGGAGGACCGAACCGACUUACGUUGAAAAGUGAGCGGAUGAACUGAGGGUAGCGGAGAAAUUCCAAUCGAACCUGGAGAUAGCUGGUUCUCUCCGAAAUAGCUUUAGGGCUAGCCUCAAGUGAUGAUUAUUGGAGGUAGAGCACUGUUUGGACGAGGGGCCCCUCUCGGGUUACCGAAUUCAGACAAACUCCGAAUGCCAAUUAAUUUAACUUGGGAGUCAGAACAUGGGUGAUAAGGUCCGUGUUCGAAAGGGAAACAGCCCAGACCACCAGCUAAGGUCCCAAAAUAUAUGUUAAGUGGAAAAGGAUGUGGCGUUGCCCAGACAACUAGGAUGUUGGCUUAGAAGCAGCCAUCAUUUAAAGAGUGCGUAAUAGCUCACUAGUCGAGUGACACUGCGCCGAAAAUGUACCGGGGCUAAACAUAUUACCGAAGCUGUGGAUUGUCCUUUGGACAAUGGUAGGAGAGCGUUCUAAGGGCGUUGAAGCAUGAUCGUAAGGACAUGUGGAGCGCUUAGAAGUGAGAAUGCCGGUGUGAGUAGCGAAAGACGGGUGAGAAUCCCGUCCACCGAUUGACUAAGGUUUCCAGAGGAAGGCUCGUCCGCUCUGGGUUAGUCGGGUCCUAAGCUGAGGCCGACAGGCGUAGGCGAUGGAUAACAGGUUGAUAUUCCUGUACCACCUAUAAUCGUUUUAAUCGAUGGGGGGACGCAGUAGGAUAGGCGAAGCGUGCGAUUGGAUUGCACGUCUAAGCAGUAAGGCUGAGUAUUAGGCAAAUCCGGUACUCAUUAAGGCUGAGCUGUGAUGGGGAGAAGACAUUGUGUCUUCGAGUCGUUGAUUUCACACUGCCGAGAAAAGCCUCUAGAUAGAAAAUAGGUGCCCGUACCGCAAACCGACACAGGUAGUCAAGAUGAGAAUUCUAAGGUGAGCGAGCGAACUCUCGUUAAGGAACUCGGCAAAAUGACCCCGUAACUUCGGGAGAAGGGGUGCUCUUUAGGGUUAACGCCCAGAAGAGCCGCAGUGAAUAGGCCCAAGCGACUGUUUAUCAAAAACACAGGUCUCUGCUAAACCGUAAGGUGAUGUAUAGGGGCUGACGCCUGCCCGGUGCUGGAAGGUUAAGAGGAGUGGUUAGCUUCUGCGAAGCUACGAAUCGAAGCCCCAGUAAACGGCGGCCGUAACUAUAACGGUCCUAAGGUAGCGAAAUUCCUUGUCGGGUAAGUUCCGACCCGCACGAAAGGCGUAACGAUUUGGGCACUGUCUCAACGAGAGACUCGGUGAAAUCAUAGUACCUGUGAAGAUGCAGGUUACCCGCGACAGGACGGAAAGACCCCGUGGAGCUUUACUGUAGCCUGAUAUUGAAAUUCGGCACAGCUUGUACAGGAUAGGUAGGAGCCUUUGAAACGUGAGCGCUAGCUUACGUGGAGGCGCUGGUGGGAUACUACCCUAGCUGUGUUGGCUUUCUAACCCGCACCACUUAUCGUGGUGGGAGACAGUGUCAGGCGGGCAGUUUGACUGGGGCGGUCGCCUCCUAAAAGGUAACGGAGGCGCUCAAAGGUUCCCUCAGAAUGGUUGGAAAUCAUUCAUAGAGUGUAAAGGCAUAAGGGAGCUUGACUGCGAGACCUACAAGUCGAGCAGGGUCGAAAGACGGACUUAGUGAUCCGGUGGUUCCGCAUGGAAGGGCCAUCGCUCAACGGAUAAAAGCUACCCCGGGGAUAACAGGCUUAUCUCCCCCAAGAGUUCACAUCGACGGGGAGGUUUGGCACCUCGAUGUCGGCUCAUCGCAUCCUGGGGCUGUAGUCGGUCCCAAGGGUUGGGCUGUUCGCCCAUUAAAGCGGUACGCGAGCUGGGUUCAGAACGUCGUGAGACAGUUCGGUCCCUAUCCGUCGUGGGCGUAGGAAAUUUGAGAGGAGCUGUCCUUAGUACGAGAGGACCGGGAUGGACAUACCUCUGGUGUACCAGUUGUCGUGCCAACGGCAUAGCUGGGUAGCUAUGUGUGGACGGGAUAAGUGCUGAAAGCAUCUAAGCAUGAAGCCCCCCUCAAGAUGAGAUUUCCCAACUUCGGUUAU